CCUGUGCGCCUCAGGCACUACACCCCAUUCGUCACCACCCCACCAAACGCCACAGUGGCUCCUCCACAACCGCCCGCAACCCUUUCCCCUUUUCCCCAGCUCCUCCUCCAUCCUCUUGUGCCCCCUCCCACAUCUCAUCCACCCCCUCAUCUCUGACCGGAUCCGUGACAUGCGGGACGGAGGCGAGCUUCUCCGGCGUCGGUGACCUGCAGGCGAAGGGCGAGGGCGUCGACGCUUGAUUUGAGGCAGCGUCAUGGAUCGGUCCCUGCUAAGCCACGAGAUUGCUGGACUGCCACCAUCCCUCCUGCACUGUGCGUUGCCUCCUGCGAGUGCCACCUCGCCCCACUAGCUUCCAACGCCAUGGAUCCGCCGGAGAUGGAGGGCAACCCACCUCGCCCCACUAGCUUCCAACGCCAUGGAUCCGCCGGAGAUGGAGGGCAACAAGUGAGGGAGUAGGAGAACAGGUGAAUCGAGGGAGUGAAAGAAGGAGCUCACACGGGAAGGGGAAGAGGGAGUCUGGCGGCGUAUCCACAUCUCAUCCCCGGCUGUAGAUCUUUUGACGCCAUGGCACCAGUGGUGGCUCCUUGAUGGAGCGCCUCCUCCCAUGACGGCACGACCAGCCGCUCUUGCUCGACGCCACGAUACACAACGAGGUCGAUGGCUUCCACGGAGCAGAGGCCCUCUUCAUCUCGGCAGAGGAGCAGAACGGCCAGGAGCUGGUGGCCUGCUGCCCUAUGCCAAUGGAUGCGCCUCCCAGAUGGCUAGCAAUGCCAGAUCCGGCUAGAAAGGGCUCUAUGGUAGGUUUGGUUUGUUCACCACCCCAUGAAGUAUUGUUCUUUCUGUAAUUUAUUUAUGUAGAUUUAACCUCAGACCUCACAGAGGUAGUCAUCUUAGAUUACUUUGAAGUAUUGUUAUUGGUCACAUGUUUAUUACUCCCUCCAUUCCUAAAUAUUUGUCUUUUUUAGAGAUUUUAAAUGGAGUACCACAUACGGAUGUAUAUAGACAUAUUUUAGAGUGUAGAUUCACUCAUUUUGCUCUGUAUGUAGUCACUUGUUGAAAUCUCUAGAAAGACAAAUAUUUAGGAACGGAGGGAGUAGGUUUAAAUGCCACUAUUCUACAUGGGUUGUUACUAACACAAAUUGAUGUUGUGAUUAGGCACCAAUCCUAUUAUUGAAGCUAUUAUGGUAUAUGUUGCUGCUACAUAAAUAUACUUUUAUGUGAUCAUGAAAUUGCAUUCAGUUUUAGUAUUCUCUGGUGCUGGAAGAGCUAACAUGUAUCAAGCCAGGAGUACAAUUCCUUUUUGUAAAUCUGGCUAAUGCUGACAAUGGACAUGCUUUGAUGUUUUUCUUUUCUCAUGUCGUUAGGCAGAUUGAGAAGCUGAUCCGAGCGAAGCAAUGAUGUUUGGUGUUCUUCUGCUGGAGCUGAUCACCAGGAGAAGAAUCUAUGAUGCUUCGAGGCCUAAACCAGAGCAGAGCUUGCUAACAUGGCAAACUACUAUGGAUGCUGAUCCAUCACAAUAUUGACCAUUAACUUUGUGCUCAUCUCCGAGGUUAUUUUGCGUAUAGCCAUUUGCUUCUCUGGCAUUUCCUUGAAGCUGCCAUUGCAAGAGGAAACAGAAGGAUAUCUUCGUGAUCAGCACAUUGGUGUCUAAGGCUACUUGCUGUGUCACUGCGCCCGGCAAGUGCAUGAAUAAACAUGGAUAGAUCAAUACAGAUAGGUUAAUUACCGACUAUCAUAGCUAAAAGUUCUGAAAAAUCAUUUGAAGUGAUGUUCUUUUGGUUUUCCGUUCAAAUAUCAUCGAUCCUUGUGCCUGCUGAAUCUCUAAUUUAACACAUGUUGGCAGUCUGACAAA